rnacentral:rRNA from 1 species
GUUUAACCUUCGGGGGGACGCUUACCACUUUGUGGUUCAUGACUGGGGUGAAGUCGUAACAAGGUAGCGCUAGGGGAACCUGGCGCUGGAUCACCUCCUUA